rnacentral:rRNA from 1 species
GAUGAACGCUGGCGGCGUGCCUAAUACAUGCAAGUCGAACGAACAGACGAGGAGCUUGCUCCUCUGACGUUAGCGGCGGACGGGAGAGUAACACGUGGAUCCCCUACCUAUAAGACUGGGAUAACUUCGGGAAACCGGAGCUAAUACCGGAUAAUAUCUUGAACCGCAUGGUUCGAUAGUGACAGACGGUUUUGCUGGCACUUAUAGAUGGAUCCGGGCCGCAUUAGCUAGUUGGUACGGUAGCGGCUUGCCAUGGCGAUGCUGCGUGGCCGACCUGAGAGGGGGAAGGGCGACAGGGGAGGUGAGACGCGGCCCAGACUCCGAGGGGAGGCAGCAGCAGGGAAUGGUGGGCGAGGGGGGAAAGCCUGAAGGAGCAGCGGCGGGUGGGUGAUGAAGGGCGGCGGGUCGGAAAACUGUGUUAUUAGGGAAGAACGAAUGUGGAAGGAACUAUGCACGUCUUGACGGUACCUGAACAGAAAGCACCGGCUAACUACGUG